rnacentral:tRNA from 1 species
AAUGUCGGAUAAACGAAUAUUUUUGAUAAAAAUAAACAUGUAAGCUUAUUAGCUUUC